CCUGCAGCAAAGAAAUUCUGAUACAUAUGCCUAACACAAAACCUGUGUUAUGCUUCUGGAAACAAAUCCGCCACAACAUUGACUAGCCCUUUCUGUCGAUCACUCAUGAUUGUCACAGAAAUCCAAUUCUCCAUUGCUAGAUCCUCGAACAACAACAUCAAAAACAUCGCCACGAACUAGUGUUCUCUUUUUCAACGACUACAUAAGCAACUGGAUAUAUACAAUCAUUGGCAUCUAUACCAAUUGCUGCUAGAAGUUGUCCACUAUAUUUACCUUUCAG
rnacentral:lncRNA from 1 species